UUGCCUUGUCAGCAAGAGAGGUGCCUGCAGCCUAGGCGGCAACCAUGCUAUCUUGCACAGACACAAAAAGCCUUUUGGAAGGUUGUGUCUUUGUUGACGAUGAUGUUUAGCAUUUUAGCAUUCAAGACUCUUCAGACACGGAUUGCGAGAACGCCUGGCCUGAGAAAUUGACACCCGAGUGAAUGGAGGCGAAUGCACCUGUUUAAGUUGAGGAAGGCAGAUCACCAAAGGUGGCAGGAGUCCUUUGGUGAGGAUGGGAGGUCGGGAGAAGCAAAGAAGAAGGAGAGAAGAGACUCUACAGUGGGAGAACCACUUUGGGAAGAGCAGGAUCAGCCCCUUUAUCAUUUCGGUUUCCCUCUUCUGCUGCACCUUCUUCAGUUCGACAGUAUCGCUUUUUUGGUAAUCUGGCGACCGGAAGGAUACACUUUACUUCUGAGGAACAGCUACAACUGGAAACAAGGUCAGCUUCAUGUUGUUGUUGUUGUUGUUGCUAUAGCCCAGUAAGCUUCCAGACCACCUUGGGUUUAUUCUCUCUUUUUGACAGUUAAAGCACCACAUUUUCAUUGAUGCCAGGAGAUGUUGAACAGUAGGGCACACAUCCUGGGGUGCCUCUGUUAUGGCACAAGAGAUAUUCCCAGACUGAUUGGGCAAGGUUCGGACCACAAUGUGUGUCUGGACAUUUAAAUUUGCAUUCUGAUUGGGCAAGACCUCUAGGGUUUUUAAAUUCUGUCUUGAUCGAAUUGGGCAAGAUCUCUAGGAUUUUUAAAUUGUAUAUGGAAUUGGGCAAGAUCAAGGCCUGUGUGGGCCUCGAUUUCUAAAUUGCAUCCCCCAGCUUGACCUUUACAAUUGUAUUCUGAUUGGGCAAGACCUCUAGGGUUUUUAAAUUCUGUAUGGAAUUGGGCAAGAUCAGGGCCUGUGUGGGCCUCGAUUUUUAAAUUGCAUCCCCCAGCUUGACUGAGCACACAAUCUCUAGGUUCCCUUAGAGUGAAUUGGGCAUGAUACCAUUUUUUUUAAAUUCCAUGUUUGGGCAGCUUUAAGCCAGUGGACUGGAGUCCCAUGAGCUUGGAAUCUCCAAUGGCUCAACUGGGCAAGACAAUUGGUGUCUUUAAAUUCUGUCAGGGCCUUGUGGACAUAUUUUUCAGCCAAGGGUGUAGUGUUAAAUUUGGAUCAACUGACCUCCCACUUUUAUUCAUGCUCAUGAUAAAGUCUGAAUCAAAUGGAUCACGUUGCGUGUUUUAUAUGCGCUGUGUCCCAAGGCUUGAGUGACCCAUGAAGAGAUGAGUUCUUCUUUAGUGCGCUCAUGGCCAUCUCGGAUCCUUAUUCCUUACUCAAGGAAAUCAUUGAUUUUGAAUGCUGGGCUCAAGGUUUUGAUGCUUUCCUGUCUAUUGAUAAAAUGGAAGGAAUCAUUUCACAUGCAAAUGUUUAAAUUGGUUGUGUCAUGCAAGGGUUUUGAGGACUGUCUGGACUAAAGAAAUAGUUUGAUUGCCUUGUCAGCAAGAGAGGUGCCUGCAGCCUAGGCGGCAACCAUGCUAUCUUGCACAGACACAAAAAGCCUUUUGGAAGGUUGUGUCUUUGUUGAAGAUGAUGUUUAGCAUUUUAGCAUUCAAGACUCUUCAGACACGGAUUGUGAGAACGCCUGGCCUGAGAAAUUGACACCCGAGUGAAUGGAGGCGAAUGUACCUGCUUAAGUUGAGGAAGGCAGAUCACCAAAGGCGGCAGGAGUCCAGUGGUGAGGAUGAGGUGAGUAACUGGGCCUGACUGGUUGGAUGAUGCCCCAUCUGUACUGGGCCUUUUCCAAACCAGAUGCUAAUUUUUUUCCCCUUUAAGUUCGGCACUGACAUUUUUAUUGAGUUAGUGAAGGGGUGUUGCGACAGCUACUUGGGGAACUCUGGAAAUGGGCCCAUAAUUAUGUAAGGAUGACCAGAAACUGUAUAUUUAUUAAAAUUGACUUGGACCUUUCUUUUUAAAAAUAUAUAUAUUUUAAAGUAACCUGGAAAUUGUACUGUCAGAGUGAAUGCAGAAGAAAAGUGACGUAACAUCAGAGAAUCGCUUUGGAAGUGAUGUGAAACUGUGGUAAUCUUCUGCCUUCUUUUUCAAAUGGUAAGUGAAAUAAAGGCAAAAAGUAAGAAAUAUCUUACAUAAAAGAUGCAUGGGUGAGCAGGCAUUUGGGCAAAUGGAACCAUCCCCCCACCAGCCCACCAGCCCCAAUCAGUGACAAAAUGUGGAGCCCCACCACCACAUGGAGCUCUAAAAUGGGUCGGGAAAUCCCGGAUGGUGUUCGGGAACUCUGACCCAAUGUAGGCUUCCCAACAUCGGGAUUGGCUGAUCCCCGGCAUCCUCCAACAUGGCCCAUCUCAGGCCAUGACCAACACAACUGAUGCAGACUUGAACAGCUGUAUAUUAAGCACCUUCUCUCUUUCUGUUCCGAUUCUGUCCCCAAACUGAGCUGAACAGACACAAGCCCAGAGAUGGAAGGGGAGCUGAAAAGGCUGGAGAACAGCAGAGACGCUCUCAAGGCUGGCUUCUACGAAUCCUUCGGUGGACUGCAUCCUCCUCAUGACUCUGAUGACAGUAGCAAUGGACCGAGAGAGAACCUACAUUAUGUGUUCAGGACUACAGAAAUCCACCUCCCCUUGGCCUCGUGCAGAGGGGAGGGAGUUUGUCCCAGCCCCGCCCUGCACGAGGCCCAAGAAGCGGGCCGAUUGGCCCUUUGGGUUAGGGGGUGGGGUUUCGGCCGGGAUGAUCCCCGCCCUGUUCUCCUCAGUUUGGGCCAGGCAUUCCCCUCCCUCCCUCCCUGGUACAGAGCGGGUCUAGCGACUGGUCGCCCAACGGGGCCGAGUAGGCAUUUUUGGCUCCCAACGCAUUGGCCACUGAUGGGGUUUUUUUUGCCUACUCCGUUCUGUGUUCCAGGUGUGUAGUUAGAGUUAGGCCGGUCACAAUGGCAGUAACAGUGCGGGCGGGGUGGUAAUUCGAGGGUUUCCCGAGCCAGGGUGUGUCGCCCAGUAAGGUGCUGGGUAGGACGUCAGAGUUCUAACCCGGUCCUCUUGGCCCGCACUGUUCUCUAAGGGUGAUUAAUCACCUGGUGUUCCAGUCCGCCAUGUCUUUUGUUACAGUUAAUAAAGUUGUGGCCCUUUUACCCAUA